rnacentral:rRNA from 1 species
UACAGAGGUCUCAAGCGUUGUUCGGAUUCAUUGGGCGUAAAGGGUGCGUAGGCGGCGCGGUAAGUCGGGUGUGAAAUCUCGGAGCCUAACUCCGAAACUGCAUUCGAUACUGCCGUGCUUGAGGACUGGAGAGGAGGCUGGAAUUUACGGUGUAGCGGUGAAAUGCGUAGAUAUCGUAAGGAAGACCAGUGGCGAAGGCGGGUCUCUGGACAGUUCCUGACGCUGAGGCACGAAGGUCAGGGGAGCAAACGGG